AUGCAACACAGUUUUAUAUUUUUAUAUUCAACGUUUGAUUAUUCAUCUUAUUUGAAAAAAAAAUUAUAAUUAAUAUUUUUAUUGUUGUUAGAUAAUAAAAUAUGAAUAAUACUUUAUUUGUGACUAAUUUUUUAAAUCUUUUCAUAAAUUUUUCAAAUAAGAUGGACGGUUAAAUGUUGGAUAAAAAUACCACGACUAUAUUUAUU
rnacentral:pre_miRNA from 1 species